ensembl:misc_RNA 7SK 7SK RNA
GGAUGUGAGGGCUAUCUGGCUGCAACAUGUGUCACCCCAUUGAUUGCCAGGGUUGAUUCAUCUGAUCUGGCUGACUAGGCGGGUGUCCCCUUUCUACCUCACUGCUCCAUGUGUCUGCCUCCUGAAGCUGCACACUUGGUCGAAGAGGAUGUCCAUCCCUGAUAGAGGAGGACCGGUGUUCUAAGAGUAUACGAGUAGCUGCACUCGCCUGCUAGACCCUCCAAGCAAGCUCUCAAAAAAUUGGCAGGGGACUCAGCCUCAUGACUGGGUUCCAG